AAAAGCGUGGCAACAUGUCUGGAAGUGAGUUCUACAACAUGACCGCAAAACUCAUUUCAGGAGAUUUUUUUAAAUUCUCGUCACUUGGCGGUAAAGUGGUGCUGAUCGAGAAUGUGGCGUCUCUCUGAGGUACUACCACCAGGGAUUACACCCAGAUGAACGAGCUCCAUGAACGGUACGCCGACAAGGGUCUCGUGAUUCUGGGGGUGCCCUGCAAUCAAUUCGGACAUCAGGAGAACUGCAAUAACGAAGAGAUUCUGAUGUCCUUGAAGUAUGUCCGACCGGGAAAUGGCUUUGAGCCCAAUUUCCAGCUCCUUGAGAAAGUGGAUGUGAACGGGAAGCACGCCCACCCCCUGUUUGUGUACCUCAAGGAGAAGCUGCAGUUCCCAAGCGAUGAUCCCAUGGCCUUAAUGAACGACCCUAAAUGUAUCAUCUGGAGUCCCGUUGGCAGGAAUGACAUCGCCUGGAACUUUGAGAAGUUUCUCAUCGGGCCAGACGGAGAGCCAUUCAAACGCUACAGCAGGAGAUUCCCGACCAUCGACAUUGAGGGUGACAUCAAGAAGCUUCUUAACACGGCAAACUAACCCGUCCCAGUGUUGGUCACACAGAGGCAAUGGGGAGGAGUAGAAAUCAUGCCAAUGUGAUACCUUGCAUGUAUGGGCACACCUUGGAAAAUGUCCCUGGCUGUAACUCAAAAGGCAACAGUUGGACUUUCAACAGUUUACUGUUCAAUAAAUACUUCCUCCUCCUCCUCACAAGCUCUGUGUGACCACAGCACCCAUUAUAUUUUUAAAUCAUGUACCGUGCUCUCCUGUGCAAAAUGCUACUAUGUUCUGAACUUUUAUUAAAUGAAGCCAUCCUUUGAAACCACGCCUUUUGUGAGGGGGAUAUCUGAUGAAAUAUAAAAGUCUUAACAUAACAGUUGCAUUGGGCCCAUGUAAAGCAUGACUGUCUUAAUGUAACAAGUUGACCAAAUAAAUAUUUUUACUAAGAA